rnacentral:rRNA from 1 species
GGGAAACUGCCCGAUGGAGGGGGAUAACUACUGGAAACGGUAGCUAAUACCGCAUAACGUCGCAAGACCAAAGUGGGGGACCUUCGGGCCUCACACCAUCGGAUGUGCCCAGAUGGGAUUAGCUAGUAGGUGGGGUAAUGGCUCACCUAGGCGACGAUCCCUAGCUGGUCUGAGAGGAUGACCAGCCACACUGGAACUGAGACACGGUCCAGACUCCUACGGGAGGCAGCAGUGGGGAAUAUUGCACAAUGGGCGCAAGCCUGAUGCAGCCAUGCCGCGUGUAUGAAGAAGGCCUUCGGGUUGUAAAGUACUUUCAGCGGGGAGGAAGGCGAUAAGGUUAAUAACCUUGUCGAUUGACGUUACCCGCAGAAGAAGCACCGGCUAACUCCGUGCCAGCAGCCGCGGUAAUACGGAGGGUGCAAGCGUUAAUCGGAAUUACUGGGCGUAAAGCGCACGCAGGCGGUCUGUCAAGUCGGAUGUGAAAUCCCCGGGCUCAACCUGGGAACUGCAUUCGAAACUGGCAGGCUGGAGUCUUGUAGAGGGGGGUAGAAUUCCAGGU